rnacentral:rRNA from 1 species
AUUGAACGCUGGCGGCAGGCCUAACACAUGCAAGUCGAGCGGGGUUUUCGGACCUAGCGGCGGACGAGUGAGUAAUGCGUAGGAAGCUACCCGAUAGAGGGGGAUACCAGUUGGAAACGACUGUUAAUACCGCAUAAUGUCUACGGACCAAAGUGUGGGACCUUCGGGCCACAUGCUAUCGGAUGUGCCUACGUGGGAUUAGCUAGUUGGGGAGGUAAUGGCUCACCAAGGCGACGAUCCCUAGCUGGUUUGAGAGGAUGAUCAGCCACACUGGAACUGAGACACGGUCCAGACUCCUACGGGAGGCAGCAGUGGGGAAUAUUGGACAAUGGGCGCAAGCCUGAUCCAGCCAUGCCGCGUGUGUGAAGAAGGCCUUCGGGUUGUAAAGCACUUUCAGUAAGGAGGAAGCGUUGAGUGUUAAUAGUACUCAGCGUUGACGUUACUUACAGAAGAAGCACCGGCUAACUCUGUGCCAGCCGCCGCAGUAAGAC